rnacentral:rRNA from 1 species
AGUGAACGCUGGCGGUAGGCCUAACACAUGCAAGUCGAACGGCAGCACAGUAAGAGCUUGCUCUUACGGGUGGCGAGUGGCGGACGGGUGAGGAAUACAUCGGAAUCUACUUUUUCGCGGGGGAUAACGUAGGGAAACUUACGCUAAUACCGCCUACGACCUACGGGUGAAAGCAGGGGACCUUCGGACCUUGCGCGAUUGAAUGAGCCGAUGUCGGAUUAGCUAGUUGGCGGGGUAAAGGCCCACCAAGGCGACGAUCCGUAGCUGGUCUGAGAGGGUGAUCAGCCACACUGGAACUGAGACACGGUCCAGACUCGUACGGGAGGCAGCAGUGGGGAAUAUUGGACAAUGGAGGCAAGCCUGAUCCAGCCAUACCGCGUGGGUGAAGAAGGCCUUCGGGUUGUAAAGCCCUUUUGUUGGGAAAGAAAAGCAGCAGGUUAAUACCCCGCUGUUCUGACGGUACCCAAAGAAUAAGCACCGGCUAACUUCGUG